AUUCUGUUCCCCGAUAAAACAGACCCCUUUCACUCUCUUCCGUGUUUAACCUUCACGAUAGUACCUGAAGGAGCUCUGUUAGAUUCGCCCGCGAAGAAGGAACCCUAUGGCAAAACAGGGCUUCCUCACCCUCGUGAAUAGUAUGGAUCUUUCCCCUUCUUCAUCCUCGUGAACCCAUAUGGAAGAUUCACCAUUGUUGCAGAGAUUCAUCUAGAUUCGUCGAUGAGUCACCUCUAGAGAUAAAGGGUGGGUUUUCACCUCAGAUCUGAAGAGUAUACAAAUUCUAGUCUCUCUUUGAAGGUUCGGCUGCUCCUCUCACAACUGCCUCUCACAUCUGCUUGGUAAGAACUGAGGUCCCCCCAAUUUUUCUUUAAACCCUAGAACAAUUCGUCCCUCAUCAGUGAACGACGACUUGACUCCAAUGUUUCUCAAGCUUCAAUUCCAUAGGAACUACACAUUCUGUCGUUCAGUUGAAAGGGGGGAAUCAAACGUUGCCUUCUAGGUGAUAGCUUGAGGAAAAUAACAAAAGGUCUUCUGAGGACCCUACUUCUCUUCUUAGCUGUCUAAGUUCAAAGAAUUUCCUGAUCAUGGUCAUAGCAGAAGUUUAUGAUUUCAUCCCUCUCUGUCCUAUUCACAUCCCAUUCCUUUUAGCUGAAAUCUAUGCCUUUCUUCAAAAACAGUAAGUGCAAAUUAAACCACCUACUGAGUGUCAUUUUUAAGAAAUAUGUCUUUUAGUUGCA